GAUGAAGAACGUAGCGAAAUGCGAUAAGUAGUGUGAAUUGCAGAAUUCAGUGAAUCAUCGAAUCUUUGAACGCACAUUGCGCCCUUUGGUAUUCCUUAGGGCAUGCCUGUUCGAGCGUCAUUUAAACCUUCAAGCUCAGCUUGGUGUUGGGUGACUGUCCGCUUCACCGCGGACUCGCCUCAAAAUUAUUGGCGGCCGGUACAUUGGCUCUCGAGCGCAGCAGAAACGCGUAACUCGAGGUCUUCGUGCUGGCUCCCAGAAGCUAUCUUCACAAUUUUGACCUCGGAUCAGGUAGGGAUACCCGCUGAACUUAAGCAUAUCAAUAAGCGGAGGA
rnacentral:misc_RNA from 1 species